UGAUACUUUUAUUAACUGUAUAAUGUCAGUAGUUGAUGUGUGUCCUGAUCAGCUUGAGGUGUUUCUAAAUAUUGUAAUGAACAAGGGAAACAUUGCUUUUGUGAGGAUAGCUAAACUAAUCUCUCAGUGUUUUAAUGGAGAAGUACCUGAACAGUGUUGUAUAAAAUUGAACAAGCAAU